AAAUUGAAGAGUUUGAUCAUGGCUCAGAUUGAACGCUGGCGGCAGGCCUAACACAUGCAAGUCGAACGGUAACAGAAAGCAGCUUGCUGCUUUGCUGACGAGUGGCGGACGGGUGAGUAAUGUCUGGGAAACUGCCCGAUGGAG
rnacentral:rRNA from 1 species